rnacentral:rRNA from 1 species
CGUGCAUAACACAUUCAAGUCGAACGGAACUUGAGGCUUCGGUCUUAAGUUUAGUGGCGGACGGGUGAGUAACGCGUGAGCAAUCUGCCUUUCAGAGGGGGAUAACGUUCUGAAAAGAACGCUAAUACCGCAUGAGACUACGGAGCUGCAUGGCUCAGUGGUCAAAGGAGCAAUCCGCUGAAAGAUGGACUCGCGUCCGAUUAGAUAGUUGGCGGGGUAAUGGCUCACCAAGCCGACGAUUGGUAGCCGGACUGAGAGGUUGAACGGCCACAUUGGGACUGAGACACGGCCCAGACUCCUACGGGAGGCAGCAGUGGGGAAUAUUGCACAAUGGGCGAAAGCCUGAUGCAGCAACGCCGCGUGAGGGAAGACGGCCUUCGGGUUGUAAACCUCUGUCCUCAGUGACGAAGAAAGUGACGGUAGCUGAGGAGGAAGCCACGGCUAACUACGUG